UUAUCAACUACUAUUAUGCACUAAAGAUUAAGACUAAAAUAUUCUAAGGAAAUAUUGCAAGUUUGUAACUAAUAUAGAGAAAGGCACUAGGGUCGUAGCAUCACCUAGGUGGUUAACUAACAAGUAGAAAACUUCUAAUAAUAGAUUGACAUAUUUGGUAUUUAUGUUAUAACCGUUGCACAAUUGUACCCACUCUCACACCUCUCGGUAGAUAGACCGAUUUUGCCAAUUUGACUCUCGAGAGACCAAUUGGGUAGGUUAAUUAGACCAAGCAACUAG
rnacentral:lncRNA from 1 species